rnacentral:rRNA from 1 species
AGAGUUUGAUUCUGGCUCAGAACGAACGCUGGCGGCAGGCCUAACACAUGCAAGUCGAACGACAUAGUGGCAGACGGGUGAGUAACGCGUGGGAACGUACCUUUCGCUACGGAAUAGCUCUUGGAAACGAGUGGUAAUACCGUAUACGCCCUUCGGGGGAAAGAUUUAUCGGCGAAAGAUCGGCCCGCGUUAGAUUAGGUAGUUGGUGGGGUAAUGGCCUACCAAGACUACGAUCUAUAGCUGGGCUGAGAGGAUGAUCAGCCACACUGGGACUGAGACACGGCCCAGACUCCUACGGGAGGCAGCAGUGGGGAAUCUUGCACAAUGGGCGAAAGCCUGAUGCAGCCAUGCCGCGUGAAUGAUGAAGGCCUUAGGGUUGUAAAAUUCUUUCGCUAGGGAUGAUAAUGACAGUACCUAGUAAAGAAGCCCCGGCUAACUUCGUGCCAGCAGCCGCGGUAAUACGAAGGGGGCUAGCGUUGUUCGGAAUUACUGGGCGUAAAGCGCACGUAGGCGGACUUUUAAGUCAGAUGUGAAAUCCCGGGGCUCAACCUCGGAACUGCAUUUGAAACUGGAAGUCUGGAGUUCAGGAGAGGUUAGCGGAAUACCGAGUGUAGAGGUGAAAUUCGUAGAUAUUCGGUGGAACACCAGUGGCGAAGGCGGCUAACUGGACUGAUACUGACGCUGAGGUGCGAAAGUGUGGGGAGCAAACAGGAUUAGAUACCCUGGUAGUCCACACCGUAAACGAUGACAGCUAGUUGUUGGCAGGCAUGCCUGUCGGUGACGCAGCUAACGCAUUAAGCUGUCCGCCUGGGGAGUACGGCCGCAAGGGUAAAACUCAAAGAAAUUGACGGGGGCCCGCACAAGCGGUGGAGCAUGUGGUUUAAUUCGAAGCAACGCGCAGAACCUUACCUACCCUUGACAUCCCGAUCGCGGUUUCCAGAGAUGGAUUCCUUCAGUUAGGCUGGAUCGGUGACAGGUGCUGCAUGGCUGUCGUCAGCUCGUGUCGUGACAUGUUGGGUUAAGUCCCGCAACGAGCGCAACCCUCAUCCUUAGUUGCCAUCACGUUUGGGUGGGCACUCUAAGGAAACUGCCGGUGGCAAGCCGGAGGAAGGUGGGGAUGACGUCAAGUCCUCAUGGCCCUUACGGGUAGGGCUACACACGUGCUACAAUGGCAGUGACAAUGGGAUAAUCCCAAAAAGCUGUCUCAGUUCAGAUUGUCCUCUGCAACUCGAGGGCAUGAAGGUGGAAUCGCUAGUAAUCGUGGAUCAGCAUGCCACGGUGAAUACGUUCCCGGGCCUUGUACACACCGCCCGUCACAUCAUGGGA